rnacentral:rRNA from 1 species
AAGUCGUAACAAGGUUUCCGUAGGUGAACCUGCGGAAGGAUCAUUAUUGAAUAAGCUUGGUUGGGUUGUUGCUGGCUCUCAGGAGCAUGUGCACGCCUAACACCAAACUUUUUACCACCUGUGCACCUUCUGUAGACCUGGAUAAACUCUCGAGGAAACUCGGUUUGAGGACUGCUGUGCGCAAAGCCAGCUUUCCUUGUACCUCCGGUCUAUGUUUAUAUACACCCCUAUAGUAUGUCUCAGRAUGUUUGUUGUUGGGCUUUGAAUGCCUUUAAAACUUUAAAUACAACUUUCAACAACGGAUCUCUUGGCUCUCGCAUCGAUGAAGAACGCAGCGAAAUGCGAUAAGUAAUGUGAAUUGCAGAAUUCAGUGAAUCAUCGAAUCUUUGAACGCAUCUUGCGCUCCUUGGUAUUCCGAGGAGCAUGCCUGUUUGAGUGUCAUCAAGUUCCUCAAACCACAUCUUGUGGUGUGGCUUUGGAUAUGGGAGUUUUUUUUUGCAGGCUUUUGAAAAUGAAGCCGGCUCUCCUGAAAUGAAUUAGUGGUAUCUGAGCAGUGGAACUACUAUGGGGUGUGAUAAGUUAUCUAUGCCCUUUGUAAUGCUGUAUGAACAGAUCACACUGCUUCCAACAGAAAACAUGUUUGAUGAAUUUGACCUCAAAUCAGGUAGGACUACCCGCUGAACUUAA